GAUGAACGCUGGCGGCGUACCUAAUACAUGCAAGUCGAGCGAACGGACGAGAAGCUUGCUUCUCUGAUGUUAGCGGCGGACGGGUGAGUAACACGUGGAUAACCUACCUAUAAGACUGGGAUAACUUCGGGAAACCGGAGCUAAUACCGGAUAAUAUUUUGAACCGCAUGGUUCAAAAGUGAAAGACGGUCUUGCUGUCACUUAUAGAUGGAUCCGCGCUGCAUUAGCUAGUUGGUAAGGUAACGGCUUACCAAGGCAACGAUGCAUAGCCGACCUGAGAGGGUGAUCGGCCACACUGGAACUGAGACACGGUCCAGACUCCUACGGGAGGCAGCAGUAGGGAAUCUUCCGCAAUGGGCGAAAGCCUGACGGAGCAACGCCGCGUGAGUGAUGAAGGUCUUCGGAUCGUAAAACUCUGUUAUUAGGGAAGAACAUAUGUGUAAGUAACUGUGCACAUCUUGACGGUACCUAAUCAGAAAGCCACCGCUAACUACGUG
rnacentral:rRNA from 1 species